AUGGCGGUGGUUUUGGGUGCUUUGGCAUCGUACGUGACCAACAUGCUCGCCCAAAUGGCAAGCGAAGACAUAGCCAUGAUGAUCGGGGUCUCUAGUGAGAUCAAUGAACUAGGCGCCAAGCUCAGGGAUCUCAAGAAUGUUCUUGCCGAUGCCGAUAGGAGGACCAUCACCGACGAGAGUGUGCGGGGGUGGGUGGAGGAACUGAAGCGUGCCAUGUACCAGGCCACCGACAUCAUCGACCUAUGCCAGCUCAAGAUCAUGGAGCAAGGUCCAUCCACGGACACGGGGUGCCUUCACGCGCUCCUCUUUUGCAUCCGAAAUCCCCUGCAUGUCCAUGAUAUCGGCACCCGCAUCAAGAACCUCAACCAAAAGUUGGAUGACAUCUGCAAGUGGGGUGGCAGUUUCAAUUUCAUCAAGUUAGAAGCCUACCAAGACCGGAAGGCAACUCGAUCUCUUGCCACUGAUCGCAAAACGGAUUCAUUGAUGGAGAGGUCGGGUGCGGUUGGCGAGAAGAUCGAGGAGGACACAAGAGCACUUGUGGAGGUGCUUACAAGGGAGGCAGCUGACAAGGUUGAUCACCUCAUGGUGGUCGCCAUUGUUGGUGUAGGCGGGAUUGGCAAGACCACUCUCUGCAAGAAGGUAUUCAAUGACGAGGCUAUCGAAGGCAAGUUCGCUAAGAAGAUAUGGCUUAGCAUCACACGAGAUUUCAACGAUGUUGAAUUGUUGAGUACGGCCAUCACUGCCGCUGGCGGAGACUUGCCUGGAGUGGGUGGGGCUCGAGACAAGGCCCUACUUGUCGUUGCUCUCAUGAAUGCCAUCAAGGACAAAAAAUUCUUUCUUGUACUAGAUGACAUGUGGGGUGUCAGCGAAUGGGACAAACUAUUGAUGACUCCCUUUAGCUAUGGCGGCCCAGGUAGCAGAGUCCUCAUCACCACAAGACAUGACACUGUUGCCCGGAGUAUGAAAGUUGUGUAUUGCCACCAUGUUGACAAAUUAGGUCCUAUAGAUGCAUGGUCAUUGCUCAAGAAGCAGGUACUCACAUCAGGAAAAGAUGAACCCGAGCUUGACAUGCUAAAAGAUAUUGGGUUGCAAAUUAUAGCAAAAUGUGAUGGUUUACCACUUGCUAUAAAAGUUAUGGGGGGGCUCCUAUGCAAGAAGGAGAAAACACGACGUGAUUGGGAAGACAUCUUGAAUGAUGAUAUAUGGUCAGUAUCUCGAAUUCCAGAGGAGCUAAACUAUGCAAUACAUCUUAGCUAUGAUGAUUUGUCCCCUUGCUUACAAGAAUGCUUUCUGCACUUCUCCCUUAAACCUAAAAAGACAAUACUAAGUGUCAAUGAAGUAGUGUCCAUGUGGAUUGGUGAAGGGUUGGUUAAUGGAGGCUCGGGUAUUCUAGAACUUGAAGGAAAAAGGUACUACAAUGAGCUCAUAUUAAGGAAUCUUAUUGAGCCAGAUACAAACUAUCCUGGCCAGCUUAUUGGAAAUAUGCAUGAUGUCAUUCGCUCAUUUGCUCACUUUGUCGCUAGAGAUGAAGCGUUGGUAGCUCAGAGUGGAGCUACUGCUAAAGACAAACUUGGAUCACAUAGUUUUCUUAGGUUGUCCAUAGAAACCAAAGGAGUUGAAUCAGAUGAAUUUGAAUGGAGAGAUUUAACAGGGAAUAAAUUAUUGAGACUGCUAAUGUUAUCUGGGAACUUCAAAAUGCAGCCCGGUGAUUCCUUGGUUCCCUUCUCAAGCCUACGAACUCUAUUUAUAGAAUCCGCAAAUUUUACAGCAUUGCUUGAAUCUGUGUGUCAGCUGAAGCACUUGAGGUAUUUGUCAUUAAGAAGUUGCACAGAUAUAUCAAGACUGCCAGAGAACAUCCAUGAGUUGAAAUUCCUCCAACACAUUAACCUUGAAGGUUGUGGAGGCAUUGUAAAACUUCCUGAUAGCAUUGUUAAGCUACAAGGAUUGAGGUAUCUUUCAACUAAUGACACCCAUGUAAACAGUAUUCCUAGGGGUUUCCGUGCUCUAACAAAUUUGUGGGUACUAUUUGGAUUUCCAACAUAUAUGGAUGGUGAUUGGUGUAGUUUGGAAGAGUUGGGGCCUCUUUCUCGGCUUAAGGAGCUUGGAUUAAAGAGUCUAGAGAAUGUAUUAGAGGCCUCGUCCAUUGCAAAGGCUAGAGUAGGUGCAAAACAAUAUCUGACUGCACUUACCUUAGAAUGCAGCAGCAGACUAGGAGAUGAUGGGUUGCUCAAAGCCCGAGUCUCUAACGAGGAACACAAAAAAAUUGAGGUGGUGUUUGAUGUGAUAUGCCCUCAGCCUUGCUUAGAGUAUCUUGACAUUAAAGGGUAUUUUGGGCGUCAACUUCCAGGAUGGAUGAUGUGGACAACAAAAGUACCACUUAAGAACUUGAGGACUCUAUGGAUGACAGAUCUAUCUUGCUGCACCCAGCUGCCUGAUGGAUUGUGUCGACUCCCAUUUUUGGAGUUUUUACAGGUCAAUCGCGCUCCAACAAUCAAGCGUGUUGGUGAUGAAUUCUUGCAACCCCGAAGUCAGCGUCACCAUCAUUCAUCUCAGGCGAUGGUUGGCUUUCCAAAACUGCACACACUGAUUUUAAGUGGAAUGCUGGAAUGGGAGGAGUGGGGAUGGGAGGAGGAAGUUAAAGCUAUGCCCGCUUUGGAGGAAUUUUUUCUGAAAAACUGCAAGUUGCGGUAUAUUCCUCCCGGUCUUGCCACCCAUGCAAGGGUUAUGAAAAAAUUAACCAUCGGUGGCGUCCAGUGCCUCCAGUCGCUAAAGAACUUCACUUCUGUAAUUCACCUCAUCCUGUAUGACUUACCCGACCUGACUAGCAUGUCUAAUUUUCCCAAAUUGCAAAAGCUUUGGAUCAACCACUGCCCAAAACUUGAGUUACUACGUAAGAUGAAUUCACUUCGGAGGUUCGUGCUUAUAGUUAACUACAAUGAGAAACAACUCCCGAUGUGCCUACGGACUAUACAACCAAGUCAUUUGUUGCUGGACUGCAGUCCAGAGGUGCUCGCUUCCAUGGCUUUGGGAAAGUGUGGCCCCGAGUGGGAUAAGUUCCGUCAUAUCCAGCAUGUCGAGGCUUAUGCAGAUGAUGAAGGGAUUGAAAAGAGAUGGCAUCUAUUUUACUCAAGUAAACCGUACGGCAUGGAGACAAACAUCGAUAUGCAGGUAAUACAUAUUGUUGAUCGUUGCUCUUUUCCAAUAUAUAUAUAUAUAUGA
rnacentral:rRNA from 1 species